CGAACAACCCACCGCCUCAUCUUAUUUUAUUCUUUUUAUUUUAUUCUUCUUCAAUCCUCCUUGCUUUGGCGCAGUUAUCCACCGGCUCAACCUUUCCACUUUACAGUUUACACACGGCCUUCAGCACCGAUCUCCAUCGUGUAAGAUCAAAGGUCAGGAUCGACUGCAGCUUCUCGUCGUCUUCCUCCGCCACUGAAGCGGGAGAUACGACGAUGGUGGUCGUGAUGGUUACCGUCCAAACCCUAAAACCCUAAUCAUCAAAAUCAAUUUCAGUAGCAGAGGUAGCAGUCGGGACAACCAAACCACACACAACAACAGUUGCUAAGACGGAAUCCUAUCGGUAUGUGUUGGUGUUUGUAUCUGACCACAACAAAUUGAGUUGUAAAGUCGGCGUAUAAUGACCGGUAACUGGCGAUGCCCAACAAAAGCACACCAGAACAGACGCUCACUUCAAGUGUUCGACCGAUUUCACUCACGCGGCGACAGGUUGCGUAGCAGUAUAUGACGGAUUAACUUUGCCGUCGUCGUUGCAGAUGCGGGUGGAGGAAGUAUUUGCACUGAGAAAAUGGUGUCGGGUUAAGCUUUUAAAUGGUUUGAUUCGGCAGGGCAAGAGUUUGAUUCAAUUCGGGUUUCCAGGAUCACGUGUGAGCUUAAAGGAUUGGUGCUCCUUAGAAGCUACCAACUUCCUUUCCUGCAGUACGCCAAGGUAAUUGCAGCGUAUAUAUAUUUUUUGUAUCCUUAAAGUUUCUUUCACCACUAAAAGUGUACAUAUUUAUUUAUUUAUUUGAUUUGUUUCUAUAACUUAAUAUGGUUAAAUGUAUAAUGCAAUUACUGAGAAACUAUUGGAUUUUGAGGGGCAAAUUGUGCAUAACCAUCUCAAGUUUCGUUUCUACACAUCGCCUCGGCCACAACAUCAUCACAAUACAUCUGUCUAUUCGAAUUCGAUAACGGUCAGAUUUAGGGCUUCUCAAUAAGAACCCAGAUAAACACAAACUUUGUAAUUUAGUUCACAGCUAUGCCAACUUUACUCUAUUCUUUUGAUUUUUGUUUUUCGAAAACCUUGAAAUCAUUGACCAUCGCCCGACUAUUGAUUUUGGUUUUUAUUGUUUUGGUUUACACUUUUGCACGCCAGGUGUUUGCUGUUUUGCCUCCUCGGCAUGGAUAUUUUCUAGGUUGUGUGCUCUGCUUUGAUAAUAGUUGGGGUGCAAUAGAAUGCAAGAAAUCCAGAGAACAACGCUGCAAUGAGCAAGCCAUAAAAAUAUUCAUUAGCAGAGGAUUUCAAGAAAAGGAGGCAUUUGUGGAUGAUAUUUGGGAAUUCCAAGUUUCAAUGGUGUUUUCAAUGUUGAUGUACGGGGGAAAUUGUGUAAUUUGGGAACGAAUAUCAGGAUGAUCGAAGGAAUAUGUGACUGCAAUUUAGGGACUGAUUAUGUUGUAGUAUUUGGUUUACUUCCUCGGAUUCACUCAUUUCUCUUUACUAACCUCAUAUCAGUUAAGUUGUUGCAUUCUUAUGUAUUCUCUUCAUCUGUUUUGCUCACCACCGCACACCACUUGAACAUGGCAUUCUGCCCGAUAGGUUGAUGCUUAGGUUACUGUUGUACAUGAAGAUUCUAUCGAUUUUCUUCCAUGUUUUCCUUUUCUUUCAGUUUUGCAUGUUUCUCAGGUAAUGCGAAUGAUUUGUACUAUGUUAGUUACACAAAUGAAGUCUCGACAAUUAAUUCGUAUCCUUCACUGCUUCUUUAUUUCUUUUAAUUAAUUUAUUAUUAUUUUUUUUAUUUUUUUUACUAUUUCAGAUAACCAAUUUUAGCAGGGGAAGAUUAAUAAGUAAAACAACUAUGGACAGUGAGUAUCGUAUGAAGAGUUUCGUAUAAAGAGUUAUUAUGCAAAUCAAAGCUUCAAGGUUUGAAACCAGCAAACACUAAGAUUUAUACAGGCUUCCAUGUCCGUAUGAAGUGCAAAGGCUGCGAAUGAAAUUGUUCAGGAUUCAAGUAGUAUGUGAAUAUGGGGAGACACAAUAGGAAUGGAGCAGAUAUACACAUGAAAGUAACACUCAAUUAAAUGCAAUUUUUUUUUAAAUUGACUGAUUUUAGCAGUAAAAAAAAUACAUAUUUUUUUAUAACAAUACUCAAACUAUAAACAAAUAGUUGAUCAAAUGACAUUUACAAAGAAAAAGCAAGGAAAAAAAAUGUCGCAUCUGACCCCCAAACGCAGGGGUCCCCACCUAGUUCUAAUAAAAUGAAGCCGUGACUAAAUGGUAAGAAUGUAAAAUUACACUAACUACAAAUUAGGCAACAACAGGUUAAUUUGUUGAGCUGAUCCUGUUAUUCCAAUAUUGUCGCGCACAAUAACAUUCAAAACCAUUAAAAUUGGAGAAUACAGAUGCAUGUAUUUUAAAAUCGAUACUUAUUAACCCACAAUUAUGAAUCUUUAUUUAUUAAAUCUACAAUAAUAUAUACGUUUUAACCUACAAAAUAUUAUCUUAUAUUCUCUCAAAAUUCUUCCAACUAUAAAUACAUAUAAUCUAAUUCUAUAAGAAAACCUAUGUUUUAUUCUAUCAGAAUAUUUAUUUUUUUACACAUAAAUGUUAACUUAUAUUCUAACUUUAUUUACAUUAUAACUUUAUUUGUACCAAAACAUACGAAUUCAUAUGUCUUAAUUCUAACGGAAUAUAUAUAUUUACAUUCUAACUACACAUGUUAACUUCAAUUCGAAACAAAUAUUUUACCAUAAUUAUAAACAUGAUUGAUGUAAUUCUAACAGAAUAUUAGGUAAGUUAACUUCAUAUAUUCUGUCAGAAUUCUUGCUUAAACUUCAAUUCAACAAGAAUCUUACAAAAAAUGUUUCUUGCACUAAGAACUAAAAGAUUAAAAAAUGUUGUUUGAAAAACUGAUUACUCAGAAAAAAACAGAAUAGAAAACCUAAAAAAAACAUAGAAGUUCAAAGCAAGUCCCAUAUCUUCUUUUUUUCUUCACAACUUCAUUCGACUAGAAUCCUUGACAUUACCGAAUUUCUGAUCUACAUUGUGUUCAUCCCCAGAAGAGUUAUCCUGCAAACAAUAAAAUGUUUUUGGUAUAGAAGUUAACAGUGAAAAUAGUUAAACAAAAUACUUCACAAUUAAAUAAAAAAGAGAGAAUAAUUUGCUUACAAACGUGUGAUUUAAUUUCUAUACGUUGACGUGCUUCAUUGCCGACUCGUCGGAAACCCCAUUUUUUCCUAAAUGCUCGAUGUGUUUCUCUGCUUAGAUGUUGAAGAUUCUGGUAGUGAUGCUAAGGUUUGGAUGAAGUAAUUUAGGAGACGCGGAUAAAAGAAGUC